GAGUUGUAGCGUGUGCUGCUGGACU
rnacentral:piRNA from 1 species